UAGGGAAUCUUCGGCAAUGGACGGAANNUUGGACCGAGCAACGCCGGCGUGAGUGAAGAAGGUUUUCGGAUCGUAAAGCUCUGUUGUAAGAGAAGAACGAGUGUGAGAGUGGAAAGUUCACACUGUGACGGCAUCUUACCAGAAAGGGACGGCUAACUACGUGCCAGCAGCCGCGGUAAUACGUAGGCCCCGAGCGUUGUCCGGAUUUAUUGGGCGUAAAGCGAGCGCAGGCGGUUAGAUAAGUCUGAAGUUAAAGGCUGUGGCUUAACCAUAGUAGGCUUUGGAAACUGUUUAACUUGAGUGCAAGAGGGGAGAGUGGAAUUCCAUGUGUAGCGGUGAAAUGCGUAGAUAUAUGGAGGAACACCGGUGGCGAAAGCGGCUCUCUGGCUUGUAACUGACGCUGAGGCUCGAAAGCGUGGGGGAGGAAACAGGAUUAGAUACCCUGGUAGUCCACGCUGUAAACGAUGAGUGCUAGGUGUUAGACCCUUUCCGGGGUUUAGUGCCGUAGCUAACGCAUUAAGCACUCCGCCUGGGGAGUACGACCGCAAGGUUG
rnacentral:rRNA from 1 species